UACGGAGGGUGCAAGCGUUAUCCGGAUUCACUGGGUUUAAAGGGUGCGUAGGUGGGUUGGUAAGUCAGUGGUGAAAUCCCCGAGCUUAACUUGGGAACUGCCAUUGAUACUAUCAGUCUUGAAUACCGUGGAGGUUAGCGGAAUAUGUCAUGUAGCGGUGAAAUGCUUAGAUAUGACAUAGAACACCAAUUGCGAAGGCAGCUCGCUGGGACGUUACUGACGCUGAGGUGCGAAAGCGUGGGGAGCAAACAGG
rnacentral:rRNA from 1 species